UGAGGAAUAUUGGUCAAUGGACGGAAGUCUGAACCAGCCACGUAGCGUGCAGGAUGACGGCCCUAUGGUUUGUAAACUGCUUUUAUACGGGGAUAAAGUUAGGGACGUGUCCCUAUUUGCAGGUACCGUAUGAAUAAGGACCGGCUAAUUCCGUGCCAGCAGCCGCGGUAAUACGGAAGGUCCGGGCGUUAUCCGGAUUUAUUGGGUUUAAAGGGAGCGUAGGCCGUUUGGUAAGCGUGUUGUGAAAUGUAGGAGCUCAACUUCUAGAUUGCAGCGCGAACUGUCAGACUUGAGUGCGCACAACGUAGGCGGAAUUCAUGGUGUAGCGGUGAAAUGCUUAGAUAUCAUGAAGAACUCCGAUUGCGAAGGCAGCUUACGGGAGCGCAACUGACGCUGAAGCUCGAAGGUGCGGGUAUCGAACAGG
rnacentral:rRNA from 1 species